rnacentral:rRNA from 1 species
CAGCAGUCAAGAAUAUUAGUCAAUGCUCGCAAGAGUGAACUAGCUAACUGAAAUCUUAAUUUUUUUAAUUAUUAAGAUAAAGUAAGAGAAAAUAAUGAUAUUAUCUUACUAUUAGUGUCGUCUAAAUUUGGUGCCAGAAGACUCGGUAAGACCUUAGACGCGAACGUUAAUCGUCAUAAUCAGGCGUAAAGGGUGUGUAGGCGGCUUUAAAAAAAUAUAUUUUUUUUAUAUUUAAAUUAAAGCUAGAAUCUAAAAGAGGGUAAGCUAAACAACAUAAUUAAUUAGGACUGACAACUUAUAAUAAUGUGGAGUACUAAAGGUUAAAGCUAUUUAUCUACUUAAGAUUGACGCUCAGAAACGAAGGGGAGAAUAAGAAACUUAGAUUAGAGACCUAAUUAUCUCUCUCAGUCAACGAUGAAUGGUAGUUAUUAAAAAUACAAAUAUAAUUUUUUAUAUAAAUAUUAGUAACGAGGUUAACACGAUGACCAUUCCGCCUUGUUAGUAAGACUGCAAAGUUGAAAACAAAAAAAUUAGUCGGUCUUGAAGCAAACGAAGUGAAGCAUGUUAUUUAAUUCGAUAAUCCGCA